rnacentral:rRNA from 1 species
UGGGGGAUAUUGCACAAUGGGGGGAACCCUGAUGCAGCGACGCCGCGUGAGUGAAGAAGUAUCUCGGUAUGUAAAGCUCUAUCAGCAGGGAAGAAGCAAGACGGUACCUGACUAAGAAGCCCCGGCUAACUACGUGCCAGCAGCCGCGGUAAUACGUAGGGGGCGAGCGUUAUCCGGAUUUACUGGGUGUAAAGGGAGCGUAGACGGCAUGGCAAGUCUGGAGUGAAAGCCCGGGGCCCAACCCCGGGACUGCUCUGGAAACUGCCAUGCUAGAGUGCUGGAGAGGUAAGUGGAAUUCCUAGU